rnacentral:rRNA from 1 species
UACGGAGGGAGCUAGCGUUGUUCGGAAUUACUGGGCGUAAAGCGCACGUAGGCGGCUUUCUAAGUCAGGGGUGAAAUCCUGGAGCUCAACUCCAGAACUGCCUUUGAUACUGGAGAGCUUGAGUCCGGAAGAGGUGAGUGGAACUCCGAGUGUAGAGGUGAAAUUCGUAGAUAUUCGGAAGAACACCAGUGGCGAAGGCGGCUCACUGGUCCGGUACUGACGCUGAGUGUGCGAAAGCGUGGGGAGCAAACAGGGAU